rnacentral:rRNA from 1 species
CCUACGGGAGGCAGCAGUGAGGAAUAUUGGUCAAUGGACGAGAGUCUGAACCAGCCAAGUAGCGUGAAGGAUGACUGCCCUAUGGGUUGUAAACUUCUUUUAUAUGGGAAUAAAAUGUUCCACGUGUGGGAUUUUGUAUGUACCCUAUGAAUAAGGAUCGGCUAACUCCGUGCCAGCAGCCGCGGUAAUACGGAGGAUUAGAGGGUUAUCCGGAUUUAUUGGGUUUAAAGGGAGCGUAGGUGGAUUGUUAAGUCAGUUGUGAAAGUUUGCGGCUCAACCGUAGAAGUGCAGUUGAAACUGGCGGUCUUGAGUACAGUAGAGGUAUGCGGAAUUCGUGGUGUAGCGGUGAAAUGCUUAGAUAUCACGAAGAACUCCGAUUGCGAAGGCAGCUCACUGGACUGCAACUGACACUGAGGCUCGAAAGUGUGGGUAUCGAACAGGAUUAGAUACCCCUGUAGUC